UCCCCAGUGGCGCAAUAGGUUAGCGCGCGGUACUUAUAAUGCCGAGGUGCCAGGAGUUCGAUCCUACUCGCGGAAA